rnacentral:tRNA from 1 species
GCAGGGGUACCCGAGCUUGGCCAAAGGGGCAGGACUUAGGAUCCUGUGGUUAGUCCUUCGAGUGUUCAAAUCGCUCCCCCUGCA